CGGCGUCCGUGAUGUCCACUACCUACAUUGUUUGAGCCCCGUGAAACCAGCACCGGCUGAGACGCCU
ensembl:snoRNA SNORD34 Small nucleolar RNA SNORD34